AGAGUUUGAUCCUGGCCAAGCCUAAACACUGGCGGUACACGUAACACAUGCAAGUCGAACGCUUCUCUUCGGGGAUGAGUGGCGGACGGGUGAGUAACGCGUGAGAAUCUGCCUAAUGGACUGGGACAACCACUGGAAACGGUGGCUAAUACCAGAUAUGCAGUAAGUGAAAAGGUGAAUUCCGCCAUUAGAUGAGCUCGCGUCAGAUAAGCUAGUUGGUGAGGUAACGGCUUACCAAGGCAACGAUCUGUAGCUGGUUUGAGAGGACGACCAGCCACACUGGGACUGAGACACGGCCCAGACUCCUACGGGAGGCAGCAGUGAGGAAUUUUCCGCAAUGGGCGAAAGCCUGACGGAGUAAUACCGCGUGCGGGAGGAAGGUCUAUUGACUGUAAACCGCUUUUAUCGAGAAAGAAUUUUGACGGUACUUGAUGAAUAAGCCUCGGCUAACUCCGUGCCAGCAGCCGCGGUAAUACGGAGGAGGCAAGCGUUAUCCGGAAUUAUUGGGCGUAAAGCGUCCGUAGAUGGUUUUGUCAGUCUGCUGUCAAAGCACAGGGCUUAACCCUGUAAAGGCAGUGGAAACUACAAGACUAGAGUGCAGUAGGGGCAGAGGGAAUUCCCAGUGUAGCGGUGAAAUGCGUAGAGAUUGGGAAG
rnacentral:rRNA from 1 species